ensembl:lncRNA
GAUGGUACCACGGGCCACGUGGCUGAAGGAGGAGGCUCGAGUUCAGCUCCCCCUGAAUGUCCAGUCCAGAGUGUUCCUGGUCACAUACUUGGGAAUAGGAUCCGCACAGGCCCCUCCUGGCCACAGCUCAGGUGCAGGACCCCGAGUUCCCUGCCCCACAGUCUUCAUGGGCAUUUCCUCAAGGACAGCUGCUGCAGGUGUGUGGAUGGACCGUGGACCAGCAGCCUGGGGACGUGACCUGUGAGGCCCAGGCUCACUGGUAAAGAAUCUGCCUGCAAUGCAGGAGAUGCGUGUUCGAUCCCUGGGUUGAGAAGAUUCCCUGGAGGAGGUCAUGGCAGCCCACUUCAGUACUCUUGCCUGGAAAAUUCCACAGACAGAGAAGCCUGGCGGCCUACAUCCAUGGGGUCACAGAGCAUCAGACCUGACUUAGCAACUCAACAAUGAACAACAAAGCUUGAUUAUAACUUAAAUAUCUAGACAUCUGUUCUCUAGACCUCCAUCUGUACUUCUGCCCUGAGCUUCACAUAUGUCAGGAGUGAGCCUGUCAGGGGCGCUUCAGGCAACACUUCCUCAUUCUCACUCUGAAGCUUGUGGCCUCCUUCCUAAGGGAGGCCCCAAAAGGGACAUGAACUCUAAAACCCAGGUGAACCCUCAGCUCCCACGAGCAGGGCCAAGUCCUAAAGCUCCACUCCCCAUUUCCUGGCACCUAGCAGCCAACAGUCGGGGGGUGGUCCCAGGAAAUUGGGGCCCUGGGGGAAAGGAAGCAGGGUUUUCUG